UACGUAGGGUGCAAGCGUUGUCCGGAAUUAUUGGGCGUAAAGAGCUCGUAGGCGGUUUGUCGCGUCUGCUGUGAAAUCCCAGGGCUUAACCCUGGGCCUGCAGUGGGUACGGGCAAACUAGAGUGCGGUAGGGGAGAUCGGAAUUCCUGGUGUAGCGGUGAAAUGCGCAGAUAUCAGGAGGAACACCGAUGGCGAAGGCAGGUCUCUGGGCCGAUACUGACGCUGAGGAGCGAAAGCGUGGGGAGCGAACAGG
rnacentral:rRNA from 1 species